AAGGGUGCAUCGAUUAGAUUUAACUCUAGUGGGCUAAAACCACCACCGGCCUCUGAAUUGGUCAACCAAACCCUUUUUUUUUUUCUAUUUCCUUCUACUUUCCCCCGUUUCAGACCGUUGUUGAUCACCAAAUCCUACAAUCCCGUCAUCGUAGAUCGUCUAAUCUUCCUAAAAAUCCUUUGCUUUCGAUUUGUUUCCUAUACUCUUCCAACAAGCUAAGGUUACGGCGAUUAGCCUCCUGAUCUCCACCGAAUUUCACCGUUUCCCUAACAAUUAUUUAAUGGAUCCAUCAGCGCCCAAUUUAACAAUUUUGGCCUCUUUAUGUCUCGCCGUUGCCAUUUUCGGACUUUGCUGGCCGGUCGCCCAAUCCAAACCUGAAGAUGGAAUAGUGAUUCAGCAAAUUACCAGCAAAGAAGGCGGUGUGUGCGCCGGAGUCACUGCUCCAGCGUCAUGCCCGAUCAAUUGCUUCCGCAUGGACCCCGUCUGUGGUGUCGAUGGAGUGACAUACUGGUGUGGGUGUGCUGAUGCUAUGUGCGCUGGUACUCCGGUUUCCAAAUCAGGGGCUUGUGAACUGGAAAAUGGUGGCAGCGCUUCUCUUCCUCGUCAGGCGCUUCUUUUGGUCCAUAUUCUCUGGCUUAUCUUGCUCGGUUUUUCUUUAUUGUUUGGUCUUUUCUAAUCUGAAAGGAACAGAGUUUACAGUUGUUCUCUUUCCUUUUGUUCUUAUGCUGUUGUGUUGUAUGUGGCCGGGAUUGUUACAGUUAGGCAUUGUGCGAGAGAGAUUUUUUUCAUUUAUGUAGAACAACUUCUUUAAUUAAAUAACAAUUGCAUUAUGAUUCUUUGUAUUCUCUUCCUAAAUCUCUGCUAGAAUAAUGCAAAUUGAAAGUCUGGUGCAGUGUGUCGUUUCAACCAUGGCACUUGAUGCUACUGCAA
rnacentral:misc_RNA from 1 species